rnacentral:rRNA from 1 species
ACGCUUGGCGGCGCGCCUUAACACAUGCAAGUCGAACGGUGAAGAGGAGCUUGCUCCUCGGAACAGUGGCGGACGGGUGAGUAACACGUGAGCAACCUGGCUCUAAGAGGGGGACAACAGUUUGGAAACGACUGCUAAUACCGCAUAACGUAUCGGGAUGGCAUCUUCCUGAUACCAAAGAUUUUUAUCGCUUAGAGAUGGGCUCGCGUCUGAUUAGAUAGUUGGCGGGGUAACGGCCCACCAAAGCGACGAUCAGUAGCCGGCCUGAGAGGGUGAACGGCCACAUUGGGACUGAGACACGGCCCAAACUCCUACGGGAGGCAGCAGUGGGGAAUAUUGCACAAUGGGGGAAACCCUGAUGCAGCGACGCCGCGUGGAGGAAGAAGGUCUUCGGAUUGUAAACUCCUGUUGUUGAGGAAGAUAAUGACGGUACUCAACAAGGAAGUGACGGCUAACUACGUG